GAUGAACGCUGGCGGCGUGCUUAACACAUGCAAGUCGAACGGAAAGGCCCAAGCUUGCUUGGGUACUCGAGUGGCGAACGGGUGAGUAACACGUGGGUGAUCUGCCCUGCACUUCGGGAUAAGCCUGGGAAACUGGGUCUAAUACCGGAUAGGACGAUGGUUUGGAUGCCAUUGUGGAAAGUUUUUUCGGUGUGGGAUGAGCUCGCGGCCUAUCAGCUUGUUGGUGGGGUAAUGGCCUACCAAGGCGUCGACGGGUAGCCGGCCCGAGAGGGUGUACGGCCACAAUGGGACUGAGAAACGGCCCAGACUCCUACGGGAGGCAGCAGUGGGGAAUAUUGCACAAUGGGCGCAAGCCUGAUGCAGCGACGCCGCGUGGGGGAUGAAGGCCUUCGGGUUGUAAACUCCUUUCGCUAGGGACGAAGCGUUUUUGUGACGGUACCUGGAGAAGAAGCACCGGCUAACUACGUG
rnacentral:rRNA from 1 species